rnacentral:rRNA from 1 species
UAAUAAGGGGAGGAAAAGAAACUAACAAGGAUUCCGUCAGUAGCGGCGAGCGAACACGGAAGAGCCCAGCGCUGAAUCCCCGGGUCCGUGGGGGCCCGCGGGAAAUGUAGCGUUAGGGAGCGUCCGUUAACCCGGGCGCGCGCGGCGAGCACAAGUCUCCCUUGAACGGUGCCAUAAUCCACAGAGGGUGCCAGGCCCGUACUGCCGCCGCCGCGUCCGAGUGGGCGUCUCCUGGGAGUCGGUCUGUUUGAGAACGCAGACCUAAGUGGGUGGUAAACUCCAUCUAAGGCUAAAUACGACCACGAGACCGAUAGCGCACAAGUACCGUGAGGGAAAGGUGAAAAGAACUUUGAAGAGAGAGUUCAAGAGUACGUGAAACUGGAGAGGUGAAAACGGAUGUGGCUCGAAAUUCCGAACGCGUGGUGUUCAGUCUCACCGCGGCCGGACCUCCCGUCCGCUGAGAUCAAGGGGCCUCGCCGGCGUGCGGCCGUUCCUCCGGGGCGGUCGUCGCGUCGCCCGGUCCCCUCUCGGGCGGGGAAAAACUGAACGGUCCCGGUCCGGUGUGGAUGCACUCACCACCGUAGUAGGAUGUCGCGACUCGUUGGGUGUCGGUCGCGAGGCUGGGCGGGGCAGCCCGGUGUCCGCGUGUCUCGCGCCUCUGAGGUGAAAUGCGAGCGGUGCGGCCCGGACCCGUUUUCCCGUGUCCUCUCCGACUGCCCGACGGUAUCGAAGGCGAGACGGCGCUUCUCGCGCCCGCUUAAACACUGCCCCUUGCUUGUUUCGGGGUAGGCGGGUUAGCGCGCCGUCUGUUUGCGGCAUUGCCUGAUUUGGGUCCACAUCCGACCCGUCUUGAAACACGGACCAAGGAGCGUAACACAUGCGCGAGUCGAAGGGUGCUGCUAAACCCGGAGGCGAAGCGAAAGCGUAAGGGACGAUGGCCCGAGGGGAAUAUGUGAAUAUUUUCUCUCUCUAAAGGUCGUGCUCUCCCGGCUCCAAGCCGGAACCGGCCGGCCCGCAGUCCCGGGGCACCUCAUACGGCUCUGGCAGGGGUUUUGUGGUGGGUUCCCCUCGCGGUCUCGGCCGCGGGAAUUCCCCCCCGCCCCAGUCUGAGUCGAGGCGCACCUGAGAGCGUAUGUGUUGUUACCCGAAAGAUGGUGAACUAUGCCUGGCCAGGACGAAGCCAGGGGAAACCCUGGUGGAAGUCCGUAGCGAUUCUGACGUGCAAAUCGAUCGUCGGAGCUGGGUAUAGGGGCGAAAGACUAAUCGAACCAUCUAGUAGCUGGUUCCCUCCGAAGUUUCCCUCAGGAUAGCUGGCGCUCGGAGGAACGAGAAGUGGAUGACGAGUCUCAUCCGGUAAAGCGAAUGAUUAGAGGCAUUGGGGCCGAAACGACCUCAACCUAUUCUCAAACUUUAAAUGGGUGAGAACCCCGGCUUGCUUGAUGCCGGUGCGCCCCCGUGCGUCGCAGCGCGCCCUAGCCCUCGCGGGCGGCGUGGCGGGCGCCUGGGGUCCCGGGACGAACCCGGAGGUUGGGGGGAUUCUUCUCCCCUCCUCCGGUCUUGAAGCCGGGGCGUGUGAUCACGGAUCACGAGUGCCAAGUGGGCCAAUUUUGGUAAGCAGAACUGGCGCUGUGGGAUGAACCAAACGCAGAGUUAAAGCGCCUAAGUGGACGCUCAUGGGAGACCAUGAAAGGUGUUGGUUGCUUAAGACAGCAGGACGGUGGCCAUGGAAGUCGGAAUCCGCUAAGGAGUGUGUAACAACUCACCUGCCGAAGCAACUAGCCCUUAAAAUGGAUGGCGCUGAAGCGUCCCGCUUAUACUCUGCCGCGGGCGGCAAAAGCGGCCGGUAAGGCGGACGGCCCCGGUCUGAGACCCGGGAAACCGGCCCCGAGCCUUGAGGCCCCCGUGAGUAGGAGGGUGCGCUCGGGUGCGCGCAGAAGGGUCUGGGCGCGAGCCUGCCUGGAGCCGCCCGAGGUGCAGAUCUUGGUGGUAGUAGCAAAUACUCCAGAGAGGGCCCUGGAGGGCUGAUGCGGAGAAGGGUUCCGUGUGAACAGCUGUUGCACACGGGUCAGUCGAUCCUAAGCCCUAGGAGAAAUCCUACGUGCGAUGUGCGGGUGUCUGUGAGAACUCCCGUCGCCGGGCGAAAGGGAAUCAGGUUCCUAUUCCUGAACCCAGAUGCGGUACCGUUCCACCGGGCUUGUCUCGAAGCCGUCCGUCCCCCUCCGGAACCCCUCCGCGGGUCUGGUCGGCGGUCAACGGGCGCGCCUAGGGCGAACUCGUCGAGGUAACUCGAACAGCCGCGGAGAAGCCGGCCGGAGCCCCCGGGAGAGUUGUCUUUUCUGUAUUACCGUGCAAGUUCCCUGGAAUUCCAUUGCGGAGAGAGAGGGAAUAGCGCGGGAAGAGCACCGCACUUGCGGCGGUGUCGGGGGUGACCGCUCGGACCAUGAAAAUCCGCGUGAGGGCCACGGAGAACAACCGAUCUGGCUCGUACCCAUAU